AGCGAACGCUGGCGGCGUACUUAACACAUGCAAGUCGAACGAGGAGCCUCGCUGUAGCAAUGCAGCGGAGCUUCUAGUGGCGCACGGGUGAGUAACACGUGGGCAACCUGCCCUCGAGUCCGGGAUACCCUCUCGAAAGGGAGGCUAAUACUGGAUACGUUCUUCGGAUCGCAAGGUCUGGAGAGGAAAGGUAGCGAAAGCUGCCGCUCUUGGAGGGGCUCGCGGCCUAUCAGCUAGUUGGUGAGGUCAUGGCUCACCAAGGCGAUGACGGGUAGCUGGUCUGAGAGGACGACCAGCCACACGGGAACUGAGACACGGUCCCGACUCCUACGGGAGGCAGCAGUGGGGAAUUUUCCGCAAUGGGCGAAAGCCUGACGGAGUGACGCCGCGUGGGGGACGAAGGCCUUCGGGUCGUAAACCCCUGUCAGAGGGAAAGAAGGGUCGGCGCGUGAAUAGCGCGUCGAUCUGACGGUACCUUCAGAGGAAGCCCCGGCCAACUCUGUGCCAGCAGCCGCGGUAAGACAGAGGGGGCAAGCGUUGCUCGGAAUUACUGGGCGUAAAGGGCGCGUAGGCGGGAUGGCAAGUCGGUCGUGAAAUCCCUGGGCUCAACUCAGGGGGGUCGGCCGAUACUGCCGUUCUUGAGGGAUGCAGAGGAGACUGGAAUUCCCGGUGUAGCGGUGAAAUGUGUAGAGAUCGGGAGGAACACCGGUGGCGAAGGCGGGUCUCUGGGCAUUCCCUGACGCUGAGGCGCGAAAGCGUGGGGAGCAAACGGGAUUAGAUACCCCGGUAGUCCUGACAGUAAACGGUGCACGUUUGGUGUGGGAGGAUUCGACCCCUUCUGCGCCGGAGCUAACGCGUUAAACGUGCCGCCUGGGGAGUACGGUCGCAAGAUUAAAACUCAAAGAAAUUGACGGGGGCCCGCACAAGCGGUGGAGUAUGUGGCUCAAUUCGAUGCAACGCGAAGAACCUUACCAGGCCUUGACAUGCAUCUCUAAGCUGGUGAAAGCCAGCGAGUCCCGAAAGGGACAAUUUGCACAGGUGCUGCAUGGCUGUCGUCAGCUCGUGUCGUGAGAUGUUGGGUUAAGUCCCGCAACGAGCGCAACCCUGUGAACUGUUGCCACCGAGCCGUGAGGCUCGAGCACUCUGUUCAGACUGCCCCGCUCUAACGGGGAGGAAGGUGGGGACGACGUCAAGUCAGUAUGGCCCUUACGGCCUGGGCUGCACACGUACUACAAUGCCCAGUACAGACGAUUCCUAGACCGCGAGGUGGAGGAAAUCACUAAACUGGCCCAGUUCAGAUUGAGUCUGCACUCGCUUCAUGAGCCGGAUCGCUAGUAAUGCGUAUCAGUCGACGCCGUGAUACGUCCCGGCAUGCACU
rnacentral:rRNA from 1 species